rnacentral:rRNA from 1 species
GUGGGGAAUUUUGCGCAAUGGGCGAAAGCCUGACGCAGCAACGCCGCGUGAGUGAAGAAGGCCUUUGGGUCGUAAAGCUCUUUUCCGAGGGAAGAACACAGACGGUACCUCGGGAAUAAGCACCGGCUAACUCCGUGCCAGCAGCCGCGGUAAUACGGAGGGUGCAAGCGUUGUUCGGAUUCACUGGGCGUAAAGGGCGUGUAGGCGGAGAUGUAAGCUGGAGGUGAAAGCCCCGGGCUCAACCCGGGAAUUGCUUCCAGAACUGCAUUUCUAGAGAGAGUCAGAGGCAGGUGGAAUUCCAGGUGUAGAGGUGAAAUUCGUAGAGAUCUGGAGGAACACCGGCGGCGAAGGCGGCCUGCUGGGGCUCUUCUGACGCUGAGGCGCGAAAGCGUGGGUAGCAAACAGG